GUUAACAUAGUUUAAAAAAAAUAUCAGACUGUGAAUCUGAAGAUAGGAUAUAAAUACCCUUGUUCACC
rnacentral:tRNA from 1 species